CUUCUUACUCUAUCAAAUAUAGAACCUUUCAACCUUAGACGAAAACAGAAAACCACUAAAGAAUGGCAAAAGAUAAACUGCUAAAUCAAUUCAAGAACGUAUCCGAUUCAUCAGUUUCUAUAGAUAAUAAUGUAUUCCAACCUAGGCUUAAGUCUAGAAAGUCUAUAUGGGACAAACAUUCAACUUGGAAAAAUAAUGAAACAUGAGGUGGUCCAAAUUCGCAGAACCACUAUCAAUAACGUAGCCACGCCAGUCAUAAAUGACCGUACUUUUAUCCAGGAAAACAUGAAACUGCCUUUAACAGGAUUAGAAUCGGACAUGCUCGAACUACAAAAAAGUGCUUUUCAAAUGGGGAAUGAAACCCAAUAUGACUGUGGAAACCCAGUACAAAAUAUCAAACAUAUAUCGUCCAGAAAUGCCCCCUGAGAAAGUUUCAAGGAGCCCGGGACGAUAUAUUCAUAGCACCGUUCCUUGAAACAUUACAUGGAUAGAAUCAUAUGGACUUAGAACUUUAAAUCCCAAACCUUAAUAAAGACAACUGUUAUAUUAUUAACUGCUUACUUUGAUAUAUUACACGCCUUUAUCUUAUUAUUAGAUAGAAA